UGAUUGUGCUACUGCAUUCCAGCUUGGGCAACAGAAUGAGACCUCAUCUCUGAAAAAUAAAAAAUAAACCGUAUAAGUGGGAGGAGGGAUGGACUUGAUCAGAGUAGCAUCUUUAAAGCUCUGUCUGGUAGCUGGCAUGGACCAUGGUUUACAAGGAAGAGGGAUAGGAGGCAGAAAGAACAAUUAGGAGGCUCCUACAAUUGUCCUGGCAAGAGAGGAUGGGCCCUGAACCAAGGCAAUGGCAGUGAGAGGGAAGAGGAGAAGAGGAGGACACAGGUGUGAAAGAUCUAGAUAGGAAUUGGAGACGGCUGGGAGGAGGGCACUAGAGGUGAUUUUGGUUGUGGACAUGUGGGUUUUUCAGUACCCAGGGGCUCCCAGGAAGAGCUGUCAACUGUUUGGAUACUCAUCUGUGGCACCAAGAGAGGCACAAGCUACAGAGAGUUUGGGGGUCAUUAGCAAGAGGUGGGGCUUAAAACAAAGGAAAUGAAUCAAUGUCCCAGGAAAAGGAGAGAGCCAAAGAGAAUGGUGAACAGAAGCCACUUCAGAGGGGUCGGUGAGCCUUGCCACCAGCAGAACAGCCAUGGGCAUCUGAACUCAAUAACAGAAACAUCCAACAGCCCAACACUGAGAGCUGCUCCCUUACAGCCCACAAGGGACCCAAGUGACAUGGCAGUGUUUGAGGUAUUGUGAUGUGCGUAUUGGAGACUACAUGAUUUUUGUUGACAAGUUUCUCUUAACGCUGAAAAUAUGAGUGGUCGGAAGGCUUGCAGUUGGGAAGAAGUUUUCAGUUUUACAGGAAACUUCCCUGGGUUUUGGGCUGUCUGAAGAACAUAGAGCCAUUUAUGGAUGAAGAAACUGGGGCUGAAAGAAGUUAGAUGACUUGCCAAAUUCAAGUGUCUAAGAAGACACAGGGCAAACUUGAAUUCACAUCUUCUGACUUAAAGUAGCUAGACUCAUGAUAUCACAGCUGACCCCCAGCAAAGCUCCAUGCCCAGCACCUUAGACAAUGGUGUUUGGACACGCUUUGAUUUGAUCAUUUGACUCAUUGCCCAGGAGAUUAAGGUCUGAAGUUCUGCUCAGUGUAGGUCAAUUUCAAAAUCAUUGUUUGAAAAAGGGUUGUAUAUGGCUUUUUAAAAAGGCAUUCAGGCUGGGUGUGGUGGCUCACGCCUGUAACCCCAGCACUUUGGAAGGCCCAGGUGGGCAGAUCAGUUGAGGUCAGGAGUUCGAGACCAGCCUGGCCAACAUGGUGAAAUCCUAUCUCUACUAAAAAUACAAAUAUUAGCUGGGCAUGGUGGCACACACCCUGUAAUCCCAGCUACUUGGGAGGCUGAGGCAUGAAAAUUGCUUGAACCCUGGAAGCCGAGGUUGCAGUGAGCCAAGAUCAUACCCACUGCACACCAAACUGGGCAACAGAGCAAGAAAGACUCCAUCUCAAAAGAAAAAAAAAAGUCAUUCAAACAAUAAAGAUGUUUUUUGAUUUUUGUUUUCUGCUUUUUAAGGAGCAUCAAUCUUGCAAGCCAUGAAGGCUAAUAUUGCAGCUGUGACGAAGCAUCGAAUUUGACUCCAAGCUUCCUGGAAGCAAAAAUAGAAACAUAGAGGCUGUACAAUGCCAAUUACCUGAGAAACACACAGUGUUUUGUAAUGCAGAUUCAAAAUCACUGACUUAACUGACUAAUCAGGAAUUAAAUGCAAAGCCCCCACCUUACCAUGCCUGUUUCUGCCACAGAGGGGAAGUGAAAGCAGAACUUUGAGGAGCUUGGUCACAUUGGAAGCAGGAACAAUGGAAGAGUGGGGCUGGGCAGAUUAAUGAUCUUCAGGAAAAGUUAAGUGGAAGUCAGCUUUCAUGCUUUAGCCCCCAGCUCCUGAACAUUCAUUCUCUUCCCUUCAUCACAUGCUUCCAUUCUCCUUUUUCAAAAAAUCUUUUUGAUAAAAGUUGUAUUUGUGUACUCAUGAAAGGCUACCCACUCUAGAUGAAUGUGCAAGAGGCAAUUAAACAGAUUGAUCUAUGGGGUGUAUAGGGACAGAACAAAUGAUCUGAGAGAGACCAGGGCAAGGGUGAUGUGCUUAGUGUGUAGGUCACUAGAAUCCUCUCUGAAGAAGAAACCAGGGAGGGCCCAGCCCACCUGAAAAAAAACUCUGGAAGAAUCCCUCGGUGCAUGUAUCUCCCUAAGUCUUUCCAGCAACCCCGAGUGCUGUGACUAGGGCUGCAAUUAUUAACGUGGGUUUGAAGGGGGGUGGGGGUAAAGGUGGCUGUGCGUCCAACCCCUAAACAUGGUGCCAGGCAUACAGCAGAUGCACAAUUAAUGUUAACUGAGGAGGGGAAAGGAGAGAUGAAGAAAGAAAACGGGGGAAAGGAUGGAAGGAAAUCGAGAGGGAAGGAAGGAGUUCUAAAGAAAAAGUGAUAUGAAAAUAAAAUGACAGGAGAGGUAAAGUUAGCAUGUCAAAUGUUUUUCAAAGGUCUUGUGCAGUUGCCAGAGGAGGUCUGCAAUUUUGUCCUGGGUUUCCUAGCAACCAAAGCAAGGAGGGAAACAUAAUCAGUUGUAACAUUCACAGUGUCCAUAAGAUAAAAACAGAUCUGUUGCUCAGAAAAACUCUUCCCUGGCUCUUCUUAAAGGGAACACCAUGUCAUAUAGUUUAUCCUCAGCAACAUUUCUGCAAUAAAUAUAGAAUCAAACUCUGAACAAUUGUCUCCCAGAACAUCCUCAAGGCAGGUGAUUGGCAUAUUGUCAAGUGCCACUCAGGACACUCAAGUGGUCAAAACAAUUACAUACAGAAAAGCAACUUUCUGAAGUUCUGGCUUGUUUUCAGUGAUACAUUUUACAAUAUCUGGGAAAAGGGAUGAAAAUGCCUUCCUGGCACCCACACCAUCAUUUCUAGUCCAAGCCCAGGACAAACGUCACCAAAUGAUCACUGAACUUUUUCCCGUUGAGACUGGACGUUGCCUCAUAAUCCUUUCCAACCGUACUCAUUAAUAGGGUUCUUCUCCCAUGCCAACUUGAAUCUAUCUGCCAGCUCUGAUCAAAGGGAAUUGGUGAAUAUCCUUCAAGCAAUGCUCUAUGAAUAUUAUUUCAUAUAAUAAAGCUUGAAUACAAAUGAGGCAAGAGGAAGUGUGCAGUUACAGUGGCUGGCAAGAAAGAAGAAAUAUUAUGUAUUGAUAAGUAAGGAUAAAAUGUAAUGGUUUGAUAAGCAAAGAAAUGGAUAAUUUGACAUUCUGUAUGGAAAAGGUGAAUUAGAGUAAGAACUAAAUCAAAACCCAGUGUUGUUGUAGUAUCUAGACUGUUCCUGGGUAUGUAUCUCUCAUACAUACACAUACAUGCACACACACAUUUUUUUUUUUCUUUUAGAGACAGGGUCUUGCUAUGUUUACCAGGCUGACCUUGAUCUCUUGGGCUCAAGCAAUGCUCCUAUCUCAGCCUCCUGAGUAUCUGGGACUACAAGUGUGCACCACCAAUCUCAGCUCUGUUUUAUUUUUUAAAGAAGAAAAAACACAGUACUUGAAAACAGGAAAGGGUUCUACUAGUGAACCAGAAAAUGUGAAGGAUACAUAGAAUAUUGUGCUGUUACUUUGGGUGCCCCUAAUAAACAGCAUCUCUCCUACCACUUGACUGUGAACUUGGCUAUGUAGUUUGUUUUGGCCAGUGAGACAUUAGGAAAUGUAAGCAGAGGCUUAUAAAACUGCUUGUACAUUAGGGUUUAAUCCUCUUAGAAUGCACCUUCUUGGAACCUAAGCCACCAUGCUGUCAGGAAGCUCAACCAGCCAUGUAGAAAGGCUAACAUGGAGAAGAACUAAGGUCCCUGGCUGACAACCUGAAUUGAGAUCCCAGCCAGUAGGUAUCACUAAAAAUUAGCCAUGGGAGGAUGUCAUGAACCUUUCAACACCAAAUAAAGCAAAACAACUGCAUAAUCAACCCACAUGAGAAAUGAUACUUUUUUAAAUGUUUUAAGCCACUAAAUUUUGGGGUGGUUAUGCAGCAGUAGAUAACUGAAAAAUACAAAACAGCAAUGGAGAAAGAAUAGAGGAUUAAGACUGAAGCACCAGAAUUCUUCCUAGGGGAGAUAGGUCCAAGCUCAGAAUCAACAAAUGCAAAGAGUAGACGGAGACUUUGGAUGAUCAUUCAGGAACAGCACUGAGAAUAGCUCAGAUAGUCAGCUCUUACCCUCUUCUGUGCAUGAACAUGUAGUAACUAGAAGCAAUGGCUUUCACACUCAAGAUUAAUCAGGAAAACUGCUUUUUAAAGAAAGUGGGCAAACUUCCUAAGGAGUGUUUUUUGUUGUUUUAGAGACAGGGUCUUGCUCUGUCACCCAGGCUGGAGUACAGUUGUGCAGUCAUAGCUCACUGCAGCUUCAGAUUUCUGAGUUGAAGUGAUCCUCCCACUUCAGCCUCCAGGGUCUUGGACUACAGACUUGCACCACCACACCUGGCUAAUUUUUUGUAGAGACGAGAUCUUGUUAUGUUGCCCAGGGUGGCUCAUGGAGUGUUUGAAGCGGGGUAUAGGGCUUGAGAAUGAAGUAGACCCCAGUUUGAAAUACUAAAGAGAUCUACCCCUCAGUGGAGGGUAAAGCCCACUUGAACUACUGUGAAUGUCUCUAACCUGACUGUUUGCUUCUCCUUCAGACAACCUAAAAGGGUUUCUAUCUUUUGAUAGGCCCCACCUACUUACAAAGAACCCUCAGAUGAUUCUGUCAGCCAAGGAAGGGGCCUAACAGUGACUUACACAUCUCUGCAAAGACACUCAUGGAAACUACCAUACUAAUGAACAUAGUCCUUUAUUCAUCAACGUAAACAGAAAACCAAAGAUUGCAAAUAUAUUAGGAAAACCAACAGCAUGGAAGAGAAGAUCCAAGUUGGACCAAUAGAAAAAUUGACCUUGGAGGAAACAGAGAUAAUUUAGGAAAGAAAGAUUUUAUAAAAAUUGUGGUCACUAUCUUCAGAAUAAUUUGAGAAGAUGCUGCAUUCAAGAACUGAGAAGAGGUGGCUAUGGGAAAGGAACAAGCAAAGAACAAGAAAAGAUUCUUGGGAAUUAAAAGUGGGAUUGCAAUAGGGAACACUCAAUAAGUGCGCCAAAUAAUAAAUUGGAUGCAGCGAAAGACCAAGCAGUUGAUCUGGAAUCAAGGAAUCUCAGAAUGUAGAGCAAGAAAAACAAAGAGACAGCAAACAUAAGAGAGUGCCAAGGACAGACACAGAGAUCCAGCAUCUGUCUGAUUAGGAAAGAACAGAGAAAAUGAAAGAGAGAGAAUACCCAAAGAAGUCACAGAACAACAUUUUCUUAAGCUCAAGAAAUAUGUGAGUCUUUAAGACUGAAAGUGUUCACUGAACAAAAUUAAGGUAAAAGGGUUAAACUCUUAGGCAUGGUGGCUCAUGCCUAUAAUCCCAGCACUUUGGGAGGCUAAGGCAGGAGGAUCACUUGAGCCCAGAAUUUCAAGACUAGCCUGGGCAAUAUGGUGAGACCCCAUCUGUACAAAAAAUUUAAAAAUUAGCCAGGCGUGAUGUCGCACACCUGUAGUCCCAGUUACUCAGAAGGCUGAGGUGGGAGGAUCACUCAAAUCUGGGAGGUGGAGGCUGCAGUGAACUAUGAUUGCACCACUGCACUCCAGCCUGGGGCAACACAGUGAGACCCUGCCUCAAUAAAAAGAAAAAAAUAAGAUUAAACCUCCCUCACUAGCAUUCUCAGUUCUCCUUACUCUAUUUAUUCCUUUUUUUGAUAGCACUAUAUAAUACUAGCACACUACAUAAUUGUCUUAUGCAUUAUGCAUAUUAUUUAUGACCUGUCUCCCCUGCUAGAAUGUAAGUUCCAGGAGGGCAGGAAUCUUUGAUUUGUUCCCUAAUGAAGCCCAGCACCUUGAACAGUGCCUUGCACCCUGGAGCCAUCAGUAAAGAUACGUCAAAUUGAAUUAAAAUCCAGACACAUCUUGGUACAAUUUCACAACUCCAAAUAUAAAUGGGAAAUCUUAAAAUCUUGGGGAUUUCCUAGAAAGAAAAAGAAACAGAACUUUCACCUGACAUGAACAACAUUGGAUCCUGGACAACAAUGAAUAACAUAACAUCUUCAUAGUUAGCAAGGAAGAAAAGCUUGGUACAAUCUAAACCCUGCCGAAGUACCAGUUAUUUGUAAAGGCAAUCGUAGGGCAUUUUCAGACAUACAAGAACUUGGAACAUUUACUGUUCAUAUUCCUUGGAUGACAAAAUUAUUCAAACAUAUUUUCCAGCAAAAAUUAAAGGAGGGUCCAAGAAAAAGGACAACAUGGGAUACAAGAAAUUGAAACCCCAAAGAAGUGAAAGAAGCCAGCAAGAGAUUAAGAGGAUUCAUCAUUUUCAGAUGCCCAAAAGGAUUUCCUUGGACCAACAUUUCAAAUGGCAUGAGGAUUUACAUUUAUUAAUAUUCCCUGGCUCCAGUCAUAUUAAUUGGUUCUUUUUUUAAUGGGGGUUUUCCAGUAAAAAAAAACAAAAAACAAACAAACAAAAAAAAGAAAACCUGCUAGACAAAUUCUAAAAGAGCUGUAACAAUUGGUUAUUUAGUUAAUAAUAUUUACAUAGUCACAAAGCUGAAAUGCUAUUUAAAAGUUUUUAAUUUUUGAAACAAUUAUAGGCAAAACAUAGAAAACUUACUUGGAGUUACAAAAUAAAAUGUAAAUUUUAUAAACGUU